CAGCCGCCGCGGUAAUACGUAGGUGACAAGCGUUGUCCGGAAUUAUUGGGCGUAAAGCGCGCGCAGGCGGAUAGGUCAGUCUGUCUUAAAAGUUCGGGGCUUAACCCCGUGAUGGGAUGGAAACUGCCAAUCUAGAGUAUCGGAGAGGAAAGUGGAAUUCCUAGUGUAGCGGUGAAAUGCGUAGAUAUUAGGAAGAACACCAGUGGCGAAGGCGACUUUCUGGACGAAAACUGACGCUGAGGCGCGAAAGCCAGGGGAGCGAACGGGAUUAGAUACCCGAGUAGUCCCUGUCUCUUAUACA
rnacentral:rRNA from 1 species